rnacentral:sRNA from 1 species
AUUUAGUCAUUAUCAUGUGACACACAUGUACAAAUUUAAUUGCUGUAGGAUUAUAUCAUACAGUAUUCUGGUAUAAUAACGUACCAGUAUGCCUCAACAAUGAGAAAAACAAUUGACUCAUGAGAUGUGAUGGGGGGAGAGAGAGAAAAGCAACACUCCAUCAUAUUAAGUACCCUACAUGGAUCAAUACACUAGCUAGCAUGAAUCAUACGAAGUCUGAAGAGCAGUGCUGGCCAAUAGGAGCCAUGAAGUCACUAUCGCCACAGGGCUAAUGAUAAAUCAGCUUAUUUUGAUUAUCUAAUUAUCAUCAUACCAAAAAAAACCCUGACCAGCUAAUUAGGAUUGAACAAGACUGAAGUAGAUAAAGAUAUCUAUCUAUACAUGUAUCUCAGUACAGAGUCACACCUACACAUAACUCCUCCUGAGGGGUCGCAGUGGAAUAGCUGACCGGUGAGUCAGGGCCAGUACAUGUAUACACUGACCACAGGUUUCACCUGACCAAUAGGUCACAAAGCUGUCACUGAGGGGGACUGAUAAGCCUCACACUGUCACUAUUGACAAGGAAACAGCUGUUCUGAUCUGAUACCCUAUACUGUACUGAAAAAAAUUAAUCUGAUAUGCUCUGACAUAAUGCUCCAAACUCUAUAUUUGAAGUCCUUGUGCUUGAGAGCUCAUUAAAACUUCUUUUUUAUAAAUCUAAAGCAAACAUUAGUAGUGGUACUUUAGUUAUCUUAUGACUUAUAAUGCCUGGAGUACCUGCAAUUGCACAUGUACAGGGUUGGCUCUAAGACCCGGUAGGCUGGGAAUUCCCCCGCCUAUAAUGCCUUAAUUACCUGGCUAUUAUUGCAUUUCAACACAAUGUAGCUGUAAGCAAAACCCCCAGACCCCCCUUCUACUUUUUUUAUUUCUUCCUUCUACUUCAAUUUUUAGAGACAACCCUGAUCAUAUACUUUUUCUGGUCUCCUCCUAUUUUGCUAAUACGAUAAUACUGUUUAUAAAAUAACAGCCAUAUAACAUAUAUUGCAACUUAAAAAGACAUUUUUAAAAGUUUGACCAGGAAGUUCUGAAAUCAAUACCCCAUAGAGCUUUUAUGAUUAUUUACUCCCGUACCAUGACAAAUUCUCAAGGUUUUUAUCUCGCUUGGCAUGAUUAUCUAAUAAAAGAGAACCAGUAUUUUUAGAACAGCGAAUAGAAAUGAGAAAUAUUAAACACAAACUCAAAAGACAAGUUUUCCCCCCAUAGAAAUUUCAUAGCUAUUGAAAUCGAAGACAUUAAAAUUAAACGUAAGGCACCGAGGAAUAUUUCAAAACUACAAGAACUGGGUCAAGCAAUACUUACAACUACUACUAUAGGUCAUGUUGUAGUACUGGGGGCGAAUGGUCUUGUCUCUUGCCUUGGACAUCCUGGCAUCCUGGCUUCUGGGUUUUUCUCAAAAUUAGUCCCUGAAAUUCAGAAAAUUAUUAAAUAUUUCAAGCACUAACCAAUGAAACAUGAGAACUCAUUUCAACUCAGUAAAUUACAGUUCUUAUUACAAUGUAAUAAGUUUUUAAUAACUUAGCCCUCUUCCAAUUUUUUCCCCAUCAAAAGGAUCCAUGACAAUUUUCACACUUCAAAUAUCUAAAAUGGUCAUCCCAACUACACUUAAAGAAAUGUAGAAUCAUGAAAUUUCGUUAAAAUGCAUAGAACAGUCAGUACACAUUUAAGUGGGAUGAAAAUGAAUAAUAACCUCUGACAUCUCAUUCUAAUUGAUAACAAUCAAAACAGGUACAUCACAAGAAGUGGGAUAUAUAAACCAGUGGAAAUGACACAUUUCACAGCUCAAAGACUGUGAAGGUGUAAUAAGAAAGAUUUCUAACAAAAUGAUCUACAAUGAUUCAUUCCUGAUCUCAUUACAAUACAAACAAUACUUACCAGUUUUAACAAUUUUCAAAAGAUUACAAGUUAUUUCCUUUAUAGACAUGAAUGAUUACUCCAGGCAGAUUUUCGCAGUGUAAUAAAUGUUAAGCCAGCUAAGGGGUGAUUUUUCACCUGAAUUAUCUUACAGAUGACUUCUUAAAGUAUGCAGAUAAAAGCAUUCAGCGUGUGAUUAUAUACAACAAAACAAUGUAUACAUACACCUAUAAGAAUACAAUCAACCGAAUUGUCCUGAACACCAUGUCCUUGGUAUCAAUUACACGGGUAGUACUACGUUAUGUUUCUCAAUUCAAUGAAUGUGUUUUUGAUAAAAUGCUUUAAAUAUGUAGCCUAUG